GCUGCGCCUGGCUACCAGGGACUAGGCCGAGAGAGCUGGGGAAAACUCACUUCAGUCAGGAUUAGAAACCUUCACAGCAUCUUCAGCUCCUUCUUUCUGUAUGGUGGGAGAUGUGUUUCCGAUAAUGUAUUCAGAUCUGUCACAUUGAUGUCAUAUACAUAACAGCUUGGCAGCAGUGCCCCAGACUUCAGAGGAGCUUCAAAUAAAGAAAAUUAAUGAAUAACACAAAAAUACUUCCUUCCUCCUGCCCUGAGAUGUUGAACCUACAAUUAUUGUAACAUAAUUGGACCUUGUACUCGUACAAAAUUCAGUAGGACUCAUUGUAAGAUUGCUCCGUGAAUGUGUACAUUUUGUUCUCUGUUCCACAUAAAAAUGCAGUGGUGUCAUAAAAAGAACAGUGUAUGUUCACAGUGUGCCACUCAGAGGUUUAAAGAUCUUUGGGCUAUAGGCAGAGUGUUAUAUUGUUGCAAAGGGGCGAAUCAAGAAUUACAUUGAUCCAUGCAGUACUUCUGUGCUGAAAAAAACAAACAAACAAACAAACAAACAAAAACACCACAACUGUCCUCAUGACAUUUUAUGUCUGUAAGAAUUGGUUUAGAAUUUUUUUGAAGUGUACUGAAAACAUGCUCAUCUUUCUCAUUAGUCUCCUCAUUAACUAGAUUCAUGACUAUUAAGAAUUAAAUGUUGAAUCUCUUACAUAUGCAGAAGAUCCCUGUUCUUUGCUUUUCUUUUCUGUUGUGGUCAAGUAUCAGUGGACCAGACUUUUGCCCCAUUACAUGGGUGACGUUACCCACCUGAGUAUUCACAGAAAGGAAUGAGAUUCUUAAACCUCCCCUUAAAGGAGUUCUGUAUAAACCGGCAG